rnacentral:rRNA from 1 species
UAACCCCGGGAAACCGGGGCUAAUACCGGAUGAAACAUCGCAUCGCAUGAUGUGGUGUUGAAAGGCGGCUCCGGCUGCCACUUACAGAUGGGCCCGCGCCGCAUUAGUUAGUUGGUGAGGUAAGAGCUCACCAAGGCGACGAUGCGUAGCCGACCUGAGAGGGUGAUCGGCCACACUGGGACUGAGACACGGCCCAGACUCCUACGGGAGGCAGCAGUAGGGAAUCUUCCGCAAUGGACGAAAGUCUGACGGAGCAACGCCGCGUGAGUGAUGAAGGUCUUCGGAUCGUAAAACUCUGUUGUCAGGGAAGAACAAGUGCUGUUCGAACAGGGCGGCACCUUGACGGUACCUGACCAGAAAGCCCCGGCUAACUACGUGCCAGCAGCCGCGGUAAUACGUAGGGGGCAAGCGUUGUCCGGAAUUAUUGGGCGUAAAGCGCGCGCAGGCGGUCCUUUAAGUCUGAUGUGAAAUCUCGUGGCUUAACCGCGAGCUGUCAUUGGAAACUGGGGGACUUGAGGACAGAAGAGGAGAGUGGAAUUCCACGUGUAGCGGUGAAAUGCGU